CUGAGGUCUUUAAAAAUGCCUGAACCCGCCAAGUCGGCUCCGGCCCCGAAGAAGGGCUCCAAGAAGGCGGUGACCAAGGCGCAGAAGAAGGACGGCAAGAAGCGCAAGCGCAGCCGCAAGGAGAGCUACUCGGUGUACGUGUACAAGGUGCUGAAGCAGGUGCACCCCGACACCGGCAUCUCGUCCAAGGCCAUGGGCAUCAUGAACUCGUUCGUCAACGACAUCUUCGAGCGCAUCGCGGGCGAGGCGUCCCGCCUGGCGCAUUACAACAAGCGCUCGACCAUCACGUCCCGGGAGAUCCAGACGGCCGUGCGCCUGCUGCUGCCCGGGGAGCUGGCCAAGCACGCCGUGUCCGAGGGCACCAAGGCCGUCACCAAGUACACCAGCUCCAAGUGAACUUACCAACCCUGGAACAGCAUCAUACCUGCUCUUGAUAUUUAAUACUUGAUGAUUUUAGAGACAACUUUUACAAACCAUGGAAUUGUACACAUGCCCUUUCUACAAAGCAAACAAAAUAAUUACUCAAUACCUGAACAAGCAAUCAAUCAAAAUAGAGUGAUUCAAAAAUGAUGAGAUCAGUUGAAAAAGGUAAAGUUAAAUGUGAAAUAAUAUUUGUUAAAGAUAGAUGAAACUGUCUUUGAAAUGAAGUUCAAAAAUAGUUAUUGAAAAAAGAAGAAACACAUGAAAAAGGUUAACAGUUUUAAAAGGUAGGUCUAAAUCUUAAAUACUAGGAAAAUCUAAGAAGCAUGUAGGGUAGAUAUUCUGGUAAAUGAAAGUCUGCUAAUCUCACUGAACAUAGUGAAAAUCUGUAGACGCCUUUAUUUUACUCACACACACACACAUACAUGGAGAAAUAUAGAAUAAACAUUUUUUUUUAAAACAACAGACUGGAGGGCACCCCCCUUCGGGUCCCCUCAGUCCUCGGGAGCUUUGUACUAUCACUUUGCUAUCGCUCAAUAAACCUUGCUUUGCUGCCCAUCACUCUGUCUGGUCCACCUCUUCAUUUUUCGAAGUGGUGUGACCCUGAACUGUGGGCACCGAUGGAGAAAAAUCCUGCAACACCUUGACCAAAGAGAUUACAGAUGUCCAGAAAAAUAAGGUGUCCUGAGGUCACAUAGCCACACUAAGUACCUCCAAUGUUUGCUCAGAGGAAAACAAGGAAGAUGAAUAGAGGUUCUGGAGGCCAACGUAACACCACUUCAAAUCUCAGCUCUGAGCAUGAGACUCUUGAUCUCAGGGUCAUGAGUUUGAGCCCCAUGUUGGGUGUAAAGAUUACUAAAAAAAUAAAUGAAUAAAGUUAAAAAAUUAAAAAAACAACAGACUAGAAUGUUAAAUUAAUAUUAAAAAUGGGCUGUAUGGUUUCCAUAUCAUGAGAGAAUAAACUUAUUAUAAUUUUUUAAAGAAAACUGUUCUUUUACUUUCUUUGCAACUGCUUCCCUUGCUUUACUAUUCAGAAGUAGGAGAGGGCAACAAAAGUUGAUCUUAAGGAAAUGUUUAUGGCAGUAUUAUUUCAAAAAUGAAAGUUCAGAAGGUUGACUUUCCCACAAUAGAAAAUUUGCCAAAAUAAAAUUAUAGUAUUGCUUCACACACACACACACACACACACACGCAUAGAGCUAUAAAAAUGUAAUUACAUGAACAUCAGUUCUAACAUAUUAAGAGGAAGAAAAAAAAUGACCUGACACAGGUGAUGUCCAUAACUAGCUAGAGCCUUUUGAAGCCAACCUCCUGCUUCCUAGCUCCAAGACCUUGGGUGUGUUUGUAAGCAUGAGCCCAUGAGACAGAGAGGCAGAGAAUUUGCUACCUCACUUUGCAACCAGAAAUUGGAAAGUCUCAUCAUUUGAUUUCCGCUUCAGAAAUAUUUCAGAUGUAGACUCUCUCCUUUCCCACCCUACCUCCUUAGCUGAAGCCCUUGCCUUUCUUCUGAGACUAUUGCAACAGACUACCAACUUCUGACAUUGGGCCCUUUCCAAUAAUUAUUUUUUUAUGUGAAAAAUCUAAAACCAAGACAGCUACAAGAACAAUACACAAAUCCUCUCCUUAAAAACUUCAGGUCCUUCCCCAGCCUGCAAAGUAACAAGCUUCUCAUGCAGGCACUGGCGGGUCGAGGGGGCGGGGGCGGUGAUCUCCACAUGAUGGUCGUUUUGGCGUUUUCCUCUGCUGAAGCCUGGGCUUUGGCCGUACCGCGCUGCUCUCUCAACAUCGUUCUGGAAGGUCUGGCCUUGAUGAACAAAUUCCUUUCUGGACCUCUUACGAAGGCAAGUCCGAGGACAAGCCCCCAAAAGGAUCCAUCCCAGACCAUGUUCCAAUAACUCCUUCCCCGAAGCUUUGCAGGCACAUGGGCCAGCCCAGUCCUGCUAGAGAUCUGGGGCUCUGGUUCCCACGGUCUCUUCCUGCCUCCCGUUUUCGAGUUAAUUCAACCCACAGGGACUGAGGACUGGUUUAAGUCACAAACAACCCACAUGCCUUGGAGAUUACGGUUCAUGAGAUUGUUUGCCCAAAUAAAGUCGUACUCUGCAGUUUUUAGACAAUCCUAUAAGCAUCUCCUAAGCACGCAGUGAGACAUUUAAGAGAUGUGUUAUUUUCUUCACAUACAUAAAUCAUUUUCAAUAAAAGUCAAUGUGUGAAUAAUUUAUUUUCUCCACCGAUUGGAAGCCAACCGUUUGGAAAACCACUCAGAAGAGCUGAGGUAAGCCUCUCGCUCAAAAUUACUUUUAAAUAUACAAGGAAAAGAGGAAGUUUUCUUCUUCUCCUUGAGUUUUGCUGAAAAUCGAGAGCUUUAUCUAAUAGUUUUGGCAUUCGGGGUCAUUUUUCAUGAAAAGGUUAAAAGGCACGUGAAAUCCGAGUCUCCACGGAUUACCCACCAGUGAAGCGUGGGCGUUUCUGCUCGGAGGAUUUGUGUGGGAUCCAACUUUUGGGGGUAAAACAAACACAAAUAUUCCACCCCCGGGGGGCGGGGCGGCGCCCGGGGGA